AUGAGAAGACACCAUCCCCUCCUGGCAGGAAAAAGGAGGAGAAGACACCGCCCCCUCGUGGCAGGAAAUCCAAGCCAAGGACCCCACGAACAAAACAGAUCCUGCUAAAUCUGCAGCCAUACAAAGUUUCCCGGGAGCAGGGCRUGAAGGCCUUGGAGAUUAACAUGUCACAGGAAUGGUCCCAUGACAAUUCCCUUGUACCACCUGAAUCCUGCACAGCUCCUGAACUUUGCACAGCUCUGGAUCCCUGCAUAGCUCCUGAUCCCUACACAGCUCCUGAUCUGCCUGGGCUUGAAGAAGAACCUGGAACUCCAUGAACAGAGAAUAGUGGAACUGAGAUGUGGGGGCAGCCAAGUGGCACCAUGGAAACAGGAAUAAAGAACUAGAAGUACAUCACCUCGGCAUGUGAAUUGCUGCUCCACACCAGGGAUUGAGUCYGUGGUCAGGACAACAGUGUUUGGUAACCCAAGUGGGACUGGUGGACUUGCAUGACUGCAGUCACAGAAUCCCAGGAUGUAAGAUUGGAAGGGACUCCAGUGGCUCAUCUGGUCCUACCUCUCUGCUCCAGCAGAGCCAUCCCAUARCACAUGGUACAGGAUUGUGUUUGGAUGGAUCUGAAAUAUUCCCAGUGAGGAAGACUCCAUCCCCUCUCUGGACCACCUGUUCAGGGCUUGGUCACUGCACAGCAAAGAAGUUCUGGCUCAUGUUGAACUGGAACUUCCUGGGUAUCAGUUCCUACCCAUUCCUCUUGUCCCAUCACUGGGCUGCGUGAAGAAGAGCCUGGUCCCUGUUCCAAGCCCUCCCUGCAGACAGAAACAGACUGGGAUGAGGACACCUCUCAGAUCUGUCUCCUCUAGAGGCUCAACAGCCAUAGGUCCCUCAGCCUUUUCUGGGCAGGGUGAUGAUCCAGGCCCUACAUCAUCUCCAUAGUUUCCACUGGACCUGCUUCAGGAGCUCCCUGUCCCUCCUAUCCUGAGGAACCCAGGGCUGGACACAGMACUGCAGACGUGCCUUGCAGGGCUGAGUAGAGGAGCAGAAUCACUCCCUGACCUGCUGGCAAUGCUGUUCCUGAUGCCCCCCAGGAUCCCACUGGCCUUCUUGGCCACCAGCAGAUUCUGCUGGCUCAGGGRCAGCUCAUUGYACCCAGGACCCCCAGGUCCUUCUCCACAGAGCUGCUCCAGCAGGUCACCCACAGCCUGUGCUGGUGCCGGGUUGUUCCUCCGCAUGUGCAGAACCUGCAUUUCCCUUCAUUGGACUUGAGAAGGCUCUUCCCUGCCCAUCUCCCAACCUGUUCAGGUUCCUCUGAGGGGCUGCAGAGCCCUCAAGGGCUGUUGAGGCUGGGCCUAAGGAGGAGCAAACAGGGCCAGCUCAUCUGAGGUGUUACUUGAAGAAAGGUGAUUUUGKCAAGGGGGGAUUAUGACAAACCAGGUCAUGGCCACUGACUCCAGAAUCCCACUGACUCCAAAGAUGGACAAGACCGAACCUGGGGACUAUUUAGUGUGAGAAGGGAGACAAGCAUUUAGCCAAUGGGAGUUGGAAUAUUAAAGAGAGAACUCUGUAACUUGUAGCCAUUGAAUAUUGAGGCCUCUGUUUGUUGAAAUGUAUAAAUAUUGUAAAGUUUUGAUGAAUGGGA